CAGCCGCCGCGGGAAUACGUAGGUAGCAAGCGUUGUCCGGAAUUAUUGGGCGUAAAGGGCCCGCAGGCGGUUUCUUAAGUCUGAAGUUAAAGGCUGUGGCUUAACCAUAGUACGCUUUGGAAACUGUUUAACUUGAGUGCAAGAGGGGAGAGUGGAAUUCCAUGUGUAGCGGUGAAAUGCGUAGAUAUAUGGAGGAACACCGGUGGCGAAAGCGGCUCUCAGGCUUGUAACUGACGCUGAGGCUCGAAAGCGUGGGGCGCAAACAGGAUUAGAUACCCCAGUAGUCCCUGUCUCUUAUACC
rnacentral:rRNA from 1 species